CUUUAGGGCGGAGGUUCUGAGAAUCUGAGUUUUCCAUUAGCAGGCUUGUUGGUACUAUGGAAAUUAUAAGUUUAAUAUGCAGAUAUGCUGUGUGAUAAGCACAAAUAAACCUCAGUUCUGAAGCAGAGUGAAGAUAAUGAUUCUAUGAGAAGACAGACAAGAUAAGCCAGCCACUGUGGAAUCAAUCUGACUGCUCUGAGGCCAUGGUACUGUGAAGAAGUCCAAGCCAGCUCAUGAUGAGCUAUCACAUGGAGAAUAUAUGGGAGAGAUAGAAAUGACACAACUUGCCAUCCCCCAUCUGCUCCAGCGGCUUCAUGUUCUACUUCCAGCUCUCAACUCAUUGCACAUCAGAUUUGGACCCAAGUCUCUAACAAUGUUGCUUUGCUUCAGGAUGGUGACGAAAACAGUCAUUGACUUACUGGCACUUUUGUACCAUCUGUGUUCAUGCUCCUUCUCAUUAGUGUCUGGCAGCAAGAAUUUAUUUUAUUUGAGAAAUAAUAAAUGUAAUGAACCUCUACUAUCCUAAACACUGUGAGGGAAGGCAAAAAAGAGAAAAGAGAAAAAAAAAGUCAAGGGUUUGUCCUUCAGAAAUUUAUACUAUGAAAAUACAC
ensembl:lncRNA